rnacentral:snRNA from 1 species
GUGCUUGCUUUGGCAGCACAUAUACUAAAAUUGGAGCAAUAGAAAGAAGAUUAGCAUGGCACUUGUACAAGGAUGACAUGCAAAUUUGUGAAGCAUUCCAUAUUUUU